rnacentral:rRNA from 1 species
GGGUGGUAAUCUUCUUUUAUAUGGGAAUAAAGUGCAGUAUGUAUACUGCUUUGCAUGUACCUUAUGAAUAAGGAUCGGCUAACUCCGUGCCAGCAGCCGCGGUAAUACGGAGGAUCCGAGCGUUAUCCGGAUUUAUUGGGUUUAAAGGGAGCGUAGGCGGGUUGUUAAGUCAGUUGUGAAAGUUUGCGGCUCAACCGUAAAAUUGCAGUUGAUACUGGCAUCCUUGAGUACAGUAGAGGUAGGCGGAAUUCGUGGUGUAGCGGUGAAAUGCUUAGAUAUCACGAAGAACUCCGAUUGCGAAGGCAGCCUGCUGGACUGUAACUGACGCUGAUGCUCGAAAGUGUGGGUAUCAAACAGGAUUAGAUACCCUGGUAGUCCACACAGUAAACGAUGAAUACUCGCUGUUUGCGAUAUACAGUAAGCGGCCAAGCGAAAGCGUUAAGUAUUCCACCUGGGGAGUACGCCGGCAACGGUGAAACUCAAAGGAAUUGACGGGGGCCCGCACAAGCGGAGGAACAUGUGGUUUAAUUCGAUGAUACGCGAGGAACCUUACCCGGGCUUGAAUUGCAAAUGAACGGCGUGGAGACAUGCCGGCCGCAAGGCAUUUGUGAAGGUGCUGCAUGGUUGUCGUCAGCUCGUGCCGUGAGGUGUCGGCUUAAGUGCCAUAACGAGCGCAACCCUUACCGAUAGUUACCAUCAGGUGGUGCUGGGGACUCUGUCGGGACUGCCGUCGUAAGAUGCGAGGAAGGCGGGGAUGACGUCAAAUCAGCACGGCCCUUACGUCCGGGGCUACACACGUGUUACAAUGGGGGGUACAGAAGGCAGCUACACGGCGACGUGAGGCUAAUCCCUAAAUCCUCUCUCAGUUCGGAUUGGAGUCUGCAACCCGACUCCAUGAAGCUGGAUUCGCUAGUAAUCGCG